GGGUGGGAGGGCGAUCUGGCUGAGACAUCUGUCACCCCACUGAUUGCCAUGGUUGGCUCAGUGGAUUUGACUGGCUAGGCGGGUAUGCCCUUCUUCCCUCACUGCUCCAUGUACAUCCCUCUGGAAGUUUCACACUCAAACAGACAACCAUCCCUGAUAGAGGAGGACCAUUCUUUGAUCAAGGGUACAGAAGAAGUUGUGUUCCCCUGCUAAAACCUCCAAAUAAGUUCUCAAAAAACAAAACCUAGAAGUUUUGCUGGGCAUGGUGGUUCACACCUUUAAUUCCAGCACUCAACUCAGGAGGAUGCAGUGAGAG
rnacentral:snRNA from 1 species